rnacentral:rRNA from 1 species
CUUACACAUGCAAGUCGAGCGGAAACGAUGAUAGCUUGCUAUCAGGCGUCGAGCGGCGGACGGGUGAGUAAUACUUAGGAAUCUACCUAGUAGUGGGGGAUAGCUCGGGGAAACUCGAAUUAAUACCGCAUACGACCUACGGGAGAAAGGGGGCAACUUGUUGCUCUCGCUAUUAGAUGAGCCUAAGUCGGAUUAGCUAGAUGGUGGGGUAAAGGCCUACCAUGGCGACGAUCUGUAGCUGGUCUGAGAGGAUGAUCAGCCACACCGGGACUGAGACACGGCCCGGACUCCUACGGGAGGCAGCAGUGGGGAAUAUUGGACAAUGGGGGCAACCCUGAUCCAGCCAUGCCGCGUGUGUGAAGAAGGCCUUUUGGUUGUAAAGCACUUUAAGCAGUGAAGAAGACUCCAUGGUUAAUACCCAUGGACGAUGACAUUAGCUGCAGAAUAAGCACCGGCUAACUCUGUGCCAGCAGCCGCGGUAAUACAGAGGGUGCAAGCGUUAAUCGGAAUUACUGGGCGUAAAGCGAGCGUAGGUGGCUUGAUAAGUCAGAUGUGAAAUCCCCGGGCUUAACCUGGGAACUGCAUCUGAUACUGUUAGGCUAGAAUAGGUGAGAGGAAGGUAGAAUUCCAGGUGUAGCGGUGAAAUGCGUAGAGAUCUGGAGGAAUACCGAUGGCGAAGGCAGCCUUCUGGCAUCAUAUUGACACUGAGGUUCGAAAGCGUGGGUAGCAAACAGGAUUAGAUACCCUGGUAGUCCACGCCGUAAACGAUGUCUACUAGUCGUUGGGUUCCCUUGAGGACUUAGUGACGCAGCCUAACGCAUAGUAGACGCUGGGGGAGUACGGCCGCAAGGGUUAAAACUCAAAUGA